rnacentral:lncRNA from 1 species
UGUUCCUUCACACAGUAAUAAGAUAUUUGUACUAAGAAUCAAGCAAAGGGAGCACGUCUCCACUGGAGUAACUUUCCUGUAUUAUAAAUGCACUUAAUCUCUUUCACAUUUACAAAAGCUUUGUUAAAUAUCUGUUCUGCAUGUUUCUGGUACUUCCUUUUUUGCCCAUCAUCCUGGUUCUAGCCCAACCUUAACAGGGAGGGUAAGACAGGCCAAGGGUGUUGAUCUUUGUAUAUGUUUCAUUUCAGCAUAUCUCAAAAUUGGAAAAAUCCCAAUACUUAGGAUCCCAGGACUGACGUACACAGCUGUCGAUUGCCGCCCUGCACAGCGCUGUAUUGUGUGCCAUAACUACCACAAGAAAAAGAAAAACUGACGUACGGGAUGAGUUGCUUGCUGUUGCAUCUCUUACACUGAACAGUAAAGACAGAGACCGUCAUGAGUGAAGAUAUUUUAACUCAUAUAAUUCUUUAUUCUAAAACUUUGAUUACUUUUUUUAUUUUAAUGGAGGAAAAACUCCUACAUCUGCUUUAGGAUUGCAGAUGAAGUACAGAGGAUCCAAACUAUCUCCUUGUUAAAAAUGCAUUCUACUAGAAGUACUAUUUUCCAAAAUCAAUGAUGUGUUUGGUUAUAUCCUUCAAGGAAAGGUUUGGGACAUUGGUUACUGUUUUGCUUU